rnacentral:tRNA from 1 species
UUUAAUAUGGCAGAUAAGUGCAUUAGAUUUAAGAUCUAUAAAUAUUGUUUUAAACUUUUAUUAAAA